CUAAUACCGGAUAGUUCCUUGAACCGCAUGGUUCAAGGAUGAAAGACGGUUUCGGCUGUCACUUACAGAUGGACCCGCGGCGCAUUAGCUAGUUGGUGGGGUAAUGGCUCACCAAGGCAACGAUGCGUAGCCGACCUGAGAGGGUGAUCGGCCACACUGGGACUGAGACACGGCCCAGACUCCUACGGGAGGCAGCAGUAGGGAAUCUUCCGCAAUGGACGAAAGUCUGACGGAGCAACGCCGCGUGAGUGAUGAAGGUUUUCGGAUCGUAAAGCUCUGUUGUUAGGGAAGAACAAGUGCGAGAUUAACUGCUCGCACCUUGACGGUACCUAACCAGAAAGCCACGGCUAACUACGUGCCAGCAGCCGCGGUAAUACGUAGGUGGCAAGCGUUGUCCGGAAUUAUUGGGCGUAAAGGGCUCGCAGGCGGUUUCUUAAGUCUGAUGUGAAAGCCCCCGGCUCAACCGGGGAGGGUCAUUGGAAACUGGGAAACUUGAGUGCAGAAGAGGAGAGUGGAAUUCCACGUGUAGCGGUGAAAUGCGUAGAGAUGUGGAGGAACACCAGUGGCGAAGGCGACUCUCUGGUCUGUAACUGACGCUGAGGAGCGAAAGCGUGGGGAGCGAACAGGAUUAGAUACCCUGGUAGUCCACGCCGUAAACGAUGAGUGCUAAGUGUUAGGGG
rnacentral:rRNA from 1 species